ACUUAAAUGUGGAUGUACUUGCU
rnacentral:piRNA from 1 species